GGUGUGACUAACUUCAAUAUUGUUGCGUGUUGCGUAGUUGUGAAAAUGUAAAUAAAUAACGUGCAUUAUCGUUAUAUUUUGCUUUAUUAUAUUAAAAAAGGCAAACGAUCUGCAGAGGCUCAUAGAAAGAUAUGCCGUGUAUAGGGGGAUGAUGAUUUAACCGAGAGCGCACAUGCCGAAAGUGGUUUGUCAAAUUCCGUUUUGGAGAUUUCGACGUCAAUGAUGCGCCUCGCUCUGGUCACUCGAGAUUGAUUCAAGUGACGUCAAGACCAUCAUCGAUAAAAAUCCAUGCCAAUCAGUACGGGAGAUUGUUACGGCACAGAAUAUAUUUCAUUGAAGCGUAGAAAACCAUUUGCGCUAGUUGGAAUACGUUUUUCAAGCUCAAUGUUUGGGUGCCGCAUAAAUUAACCGAGGCCAGAAUUUGAAUCAAUCUCGGUCGAGCGAUCGGAGUGGAGCGCAUCUUUGACGUCGAAAUCUCCAGAACAGAAUUUGACAAACUACUUUUGGCAUGUGCGCAUCUCCAUAUCGUUUGUCUUUUUUUAAAUAUCUAAUAGAGUAAAAUAUGACGUUAUUUAUUUCCAUUUUCACAGCUACGCAGCAUGCAACAAUAGCAAAGUUAGCCACAUCAAAAUUCAAUGACAGGUUGUGUAAAGCAAAAGUACAUUUGUUGUAUGUACAAUAGCGCCGAGAAAAAAAGAGUAAAUCGGAAUGAAUCUGCACUGAAAUUCUCAAGUCCUGAGGAAGAAUGAGGGCUUAGGCAAUAUUGAAAUAUAUUUUUAUAAAAACAAAAAAAACUUGUAGACAUGGUUCAACAAAGUAGUAAUACCAGUAAUAAAAUCAA